CCAGCUGUGCACGCAGAUCGAGCAGCUGGAACAGGAGAACCAACACUUGAAGGAUGGGGGCGGAGCCUCUGUAACCAGUCCUCCUGCUAACUCCACCUCUGGCCCAGCAGAUGGAGAGUUGCUCCGCCUCCAAGCUGAAAACUCCACCCUGCAGAAGAAAAUAAAAGCUCUUCAGAAGUGCUUCGACAAGGAGCAGACCGUCGCCCACGGCAACCAGAGUGCCGCGACAGAGAAGUCAGCUGACACCAACAGUGAUGUCACAGUAGGCGGGGAGGAGGCGGGCUCAGAUGGACCCAAUGAGAGGUCAGGACAGCUUCAACGAGCAGAGCGCCGCGCACACGGUGAGUCGGACCUUCACGCUUCAGCUCCAGAACACUUAGGGUUCUGGUUCUGGUUCUCUUGCUGUGAAAAUUAUGAUUUAGUUUUUGACAAAAUAUAAUUUUAAAA